ACAUCUAGCACAGUGACUGUCACCAGCACACAAACCUCAGCUGCGACAACUACCGGGGUACCUCUUUCUACAGCUACAACCGCCAACACUAACCAAAAUGUUACUACAGUUGUCCUUUACAUCAUGGUCGGGUGCUGUGUCCUGCUUAUAGUGCUGGCUGUAUUCAUCGUUGCUGCUAUUGUCUUGAUAAGGAUCAAACAACAAGGUGUUCACCAACGUAGAACCCCUUCGACAUCUACGACAUCGAACAUCGUUCAACGUCAACGUUAUGAUGUUGUCGAAUGUUCACCUGUUGGUGGCGCUGAAAACAGUCAGCUGUAUGCGGAAAACAGUUUAGGAUACCACACACUUAACUUCAAACGUUUCAACCAAGUGAAUGUGGUCGACCCUACAGAUGCCAAUACCACCAGGAACGGAUUAGUACCACUGGAC